AAAGCGCGUGUAGGCGGUCUUUUAAGUCUGAUGUGAAAGCCCCGGGCUCAACCCGGGAAGUGCAUUGGAAACUGGGAGACUUGAAUACGGGAGAGGGUAGUGGAAUUCCUAGUGUAGGAGUGAAAUCCGUAGAUAUUAGGAGGAACACCGGUGGCGAAGGCGGCUACCUGGACCGAUAUUGACGCUGAGACGCGAAAGCGUGGGGAGCAAACAGGAUUAGAUACCCUGGUAGUCCACGCCGUAAACGAUGAGUACUAGGUGUUGCGGGUAUUGACCCCUGCAGUGCCAA
rnacentral:rRNA from 1 species